UACGGAGGGGGCUAGCGUUGUUCGGAAUUACUGGGCGUAAAGCGCACGUAGGCGGCUUUGUAAGUUAUAGGUGAAAGCCCGGAGCUCAACUCCGGAACUGCCUUUAAGACUGCAUCGCUUGAACGUCGGAGAGGUAAGUGGAAUUCCGAGUGUAGAGGUGAAAUUCGUAGAUAUUCGGAAGAACACCAGUGGCGAAGGCGACUUACUGGACGACUGUUGACGCUGAGGUACGAAAGCGUGGGGAGCAAACAGG
rnacentral:rRNA from 1 species